rnacentral:rRNA from 1 species
CUACGGGCUGCACCAGUGAGGAAUUUUGCGCAAUGGGGGAAACCCUGACGCAGCAACGCCGCGUGAGCGAAGAAGGCCCUCGGGUCGUAAAGCUCUGUCAAGUGGGAAAAAAAUUUUUUGAUCAAUAGUCAAAAGACUUGAUGGUACCACUGGAGGAAGCACCGGCUAACUCCGUGCCAGCAGCCGCGGUAAUACGGAGGGUGCGAGCGUUGUUCGGAUUUACUGGACGUAAAGAGCGUGUAGGCGGUUUAGCAAGUCAGAUGUGAAAGCCCUGGGCUCAACCCGGGAAGUGCAUUUGAAACUGCUUCACUAGGGUAUGGGAGAGGAGAUUGGAAUUCCUGGUGUAGAGGUGAAAUUCGUAGAUAUCAGGAGGAACACCCGUGGCGAAGGCGAUUCUCUGGACCAAUACUGACGCUGAGACGCGAAAGCGUGGGGAGCAAACAGGAUUAGAUACCCUAGUAGUC